UUUUUUAAAUACAGUUUUAUUUGAUGAAAAAUGUGUUGACUACAAAUAUUAUCAACAUCAACUUGCUCAAGAGGAAGAGGAUCUUGUACAUUCCAUGGAACCACGAGCAUAGCAGGUUGGUUUGUGUUUGAAUAUAUUUUCAGAACCAACUUAUUGUGGUAUUAUGGCUUUGGAUAUUGUGUUAGAAAAAAUUCAUUACAAAACUUAUGAUUUUGUUCUGCUAGAUGACCCAUAGUUGACAUAUAUGCUUAUGUUUCAUAUCUACUACACAAUUUGUUUUAGAUAUAACCUUUUGAAAGGAAAGUGUGAUAGUGAUCUUAUUUAUCCCAUAUCUAUGUUUCUUAUUACCUAUUCUUUUUUUUAUUGAACAAUUAGCAGGUAAGGAGCUGGAUAUAAUUGAGAUACAUGUUUAUGGUGAUGUAAUCCGGCCAGGAAACUAGUGUCAUUACAAUGUCUAUGGAAUAAUACUUGAUUCGUGUGAGAGCUGGAAUUAAGGCAUGUAUGUGUUUUG
rnacentral:lncRNA from 1 species